rnacentral:lncRNA from 1 species
GUCUGAAACUAAAGAUCCGCUACGAGUUCAGCCACAUUUGAAGAAAUGUUUUGAAGGAAUCGCUCAGUUGACCUUCACCGAUGACAAGAUCAUCACUGGAAUGGAAUCGGCAGAGAAGGAGCUCGUUAUUCUCUCCAAGACCAUCGUUCCAGCUGAUGCCAAAGGAUUGGUCGAACGCUGG